AGAGCACUGACUGCUAAGCCAUUUAGGUUACAAUGGGUGAGAGCUCUCCCUCCAAUUAAUUUGGCUAGGUGUUCCCUUUUGCUGUGAGGCUGAUCAGUAUGACAAGUGUCAAGUUGGGACGAUUGCUGAGACCCGGUCACUGUUUGUCCCUCGACAGGGACCGGCUCCAGUUUCCCUGACCGGUUGGCCUCUUUAGACAGCCGACCGCCCAGUGACCUUCACCACAGUGGAAGCAAUGAGGACAGUCAGGACGAUUUUGCUCCACACACUUGUCACAGCCAUAUGGUUUCUCUCUCCUGCGGUCUCCUCUGCCUUUCCCAUUGUGGCUUAACUGUCCGGCAGCCUGUGUUUGCAUUGACUGUCUCAUGAGCUCAACCACGCCUGUAAGCUGUUCAAGUUUUUUUGUUAACUGCUGGAUCACAUCUGUUUUUGGCUUUUUCUCCUCCUUUACACUGGGAGACUGUACCGCUCUGACUUCAGACUGAGCACUGUGAACAUUUGUGAGUCUUUGGCAAGUGGCAAGACCUAGCCUUCGCUGCCUUUCACUUUCAUCGCACAUGCUUCUCUUCAUCUGUUUCAGAAUAACCUCAUCUGACACUCUGGUGUCCACGAGCAAUGGCUUUAGCUCUCUGCGGACAUCUUCAUGCUUGUGACCUAAGCCCUGGUACACUGUGUGGAGAAACACAUCCUGCACUGUGCUUGCACUAUACUUGACAUCUGUGUCAGCAUGUUUGGAGGCCAGCAUGAUCUUCUGUUUGAGUCCUAUGACUCUGUACAGGAACUGUUGGGGUGUCUCAUUGUCUUUUUGUUUGGUGCACAUGAGCUCCUGGAACAGCUCGGUGUUACUCUGCUCACCCAGGUUUGAUGACUCGUAGGACAGCUCUUACCACCUCUGCAUCACUGAACUGCUCCUUUAAGCCCUCUUCCAUCUGCCGACAGACACUGUUGUAGCUGAGGUCCGACCCUUGGUCCCCUAUCUGACCCCCCUGAAUCUUCAGUUCCCUGCGGUGAAGGUAGGACAAGUCUCUUAAGGAGAACAACUUGUCAUGUGUGGGUGGUGCAGCGUUUUCAAUUCUGGUGCCUGCUACAUUGCUGCUCUG